CCCCCCCCCCCCCCCCCCCCCCCCCCCCCCCCCCCCCCCCCCCCCCCCCCCCCCCCCCCCCCCCCCGGCCGCCUUGGAGGAGCCCCCGGGGCGGCGCCUGCGGCCCUGCAGGCCUUGUUCCCGGCCCCCCUCCUCCGGGCUGAGGCGGCUCUCGGUGCCCCCCGAGCUCAGGGUGCUGCGGGACGGCGUGUGCCAGGACACGGAGCGGGCCUGGGGGCUGCGGGACGGUGUCAGCCGCGACCGGGACCGCUCCUGGGAGCUGCGGGACGGUGUCAGCUGAGACUGGGACUGGGCCUCAGAGCUGCGGGACGGUGUCAGUCGUGUCAGGGACCCGUCCUGGGAGCUGUGGGAACUGCAGGGUGAUGUCAGCCGGGACACAGACCGGGCCCGGGUGCCCUGGGAGCUGCGGGACGGUGUCGCCCAGGACACCGAGCGGGCCUCAGAGCUGCGGGACGGUUUCAGCCGGGACAGGGAGCGGUCCUGGGUGCUCUGGGAACUGCAGGGUGAUGUCAGCCGGGACACAGACCGGGCCCGGCUGGUGUGGGACGGUGUCAGCUGGGGCACAGAUCGGGCCUGGGAGCUCUGGGAGCUCUGGGUGCUGCGAGGCGAUGCCAACCGCUGCAGGGACCGGCCCUGGGAGCUGCGGGCUGAUGUCAGUUGGGGCACAGACCGGGCCUGGGUGCUGCAGGCUGGUUUCGGCUGGGACACAGACUGCGCCUGGCAGCUCUGGGAUGGUGUCACCCGGGGCAUGGACUGGGCCUGGGAGCUCUGGGGCAGCGUCAGCCAGUGCAGGGAGCAGUUCUGGCUGCCCUGGGAGCUGCGGUAUGCUGUCAGUCGGUGCAGGGACCGGGCCUGGCUGCCCUGGGAGCUGUGAGGAGCUGUCAGUCUGUGCAGGGACCGGCCCUGGGUGCCCUGGGUGUUGUGGGGAGCUGUCAGUCGGUGCAGGGACCGGCCCUGGGUGCUGUGGGGAGCUGUCAGUCGGUGCAGGGACCGGCCCUGGGUGUUGUGGGGAGCUGUCAGUCGGUGCAGGGACCGGCCCUGGGUGCCCUGGGAGCUGUGAGGAGCUGUCAGCCAAUGCACAGACCGGCCCUUGCUGCCCUGAGGCUGCUGCAGCUGCGGGCGGGAGGAGGAGGAAGAGGUGUGGGAUGGAGGCAGCUGCCUGGGCAGGGUGCUGCUGUGCCUGCUGCCAUCCUCCUGUUGGCCUGUCUCUCUGUCUUUCAGCUGGUGCCUCUCCUUGGGGCUCUGGGGACUGGGGCUCUGCUCCUCCAUGGCUCCUUUUCCUGGGAGCUGGUGUUCUGGGAAGCUGCUACUUCCUGAGCAAGAUGUUCUGCUUGAGUGGGUACCCCAGGGGGGCUCCUUAA
rnacentral:lncRNA from 1 species